UUGAGCAGAGGAGUGAACAAUCUGACACAUUUGUAAAAGUUUGGAGUUAAGGGAGGAAAUAGGGACAUUGGUUAGGAGGUUUAUUGCAAGAAACCAGGUUUAGUAUCCUGGACCAAAGAGGUACAGCUGGUCAGAAGCAGCCUGGGAGAAGUGAAGAGGUGGCUCUCACUGAGAUUGGAGUUUUCAAGAAAGGGGAUGACAAAUCUAUCUUGCUACUGUCAUUGUCACAUACAAAGAUGUGAAUUGUAUAGCAAAGGCCUAUCAGGAUGAGGAAACUGAAGCUCAGCUUGGAAGGAGUAGAGACAGGGUUUGGACCUGGAAGUCUAUCCCCUGAGUCCAUUUUUAUAACCGGUUUUCUGACUUCUGGAAAGAACAGAGACUCUGGCCUGAAUGGGCCUGCAAAUUUUGAGAGACUGUGUCUCAAUGAGAAUGACCUGUGACUGCUGACUGGAGAAUUUAUCCUAAAGUUUUAAUGCUCUUUUAGACCUCAGAAUCUUGCAAUACCUGGCAAAAAGGUAUCCCCAAGGAUGACUGAGGUUAAAUUUUCUAUCUGUAAA